AGAGUUUGAUCCUGGCUCAGGACGAACGCUGGCGGCGUGCUUAAAACAUGCAAGUCGAACGAAUUUAGAGGUUGGAGAUUAGAGGUUAGAGGUUGGAGUCCGGGAAGGGCUUUGCAGCCGGAACCGGCCGAUCCGACGUCUGACUUCCAAUCUCCAACUUCUAAGUUAGUGGCGGACGGGUGAGUAACGCGUGGGCAACCUGCCCUCGAGUCCGGGAUAACAGUUCGAAAGGACUGCUAACACCGGAUAUGCUCACGGGGGAGCAUUCCCCUGGGAGGAAAAGCAAUGCUCGAGGAUGGGCCCGCGUCCCAUUAGCUAGUUGGUGAGGUAACGGCUCACCAAGGCGACGAUGGGUAGCCGGCCUGAGAGGGUGACCGGCCACACUGGGACUGAGACACGGCCCAGACUCCUACGGGAGGCAGCAGUUGGGAAUCUUCGGCAAUGGGCGCAAGCCUGACCGAGCAACGCCGCGUGAGUGAUGAAGGUCUUCGGAUUGUAAAGCUCUGUCUUCCGGGACGAUAAUGACGGUACCGGAGGAGGAAGCCACGGCUAACUACGUGCCAGCAGCCGCGGUAAUACGUAGGUGGCGAGCGUUGUCCGGAAUUACUGGGCGUAAAGGGCGCGCAGGCGGCCUGUCAAGUCAGAUGUGAAAUCCCCGGGCUUAACCCGGGAAUGGCAUUUGAAACUGGCGGGCUUGAGGGCAGGAGAGGAAAGCGGAACUCCCAGUGUAGCGGUGAAAUGCGUAGAUAUUGGGAGGAACACCAGUGGCGAAGGCGGCUUUCUGGACUGUACCUGACGCUGAGGCGCGAAAGCCAGGGGAGCGAACGGGAUUAGAUACCCCGGUAGUCCUGGCUGUAAACGAUGGGUACUAGGUGUGGGAGGUAUCGACCCCUCCAGUGCCGCAGCUAACGCAAUAAGUACCCCGCCUGGGGAGUACGGCCGCAAGGUUGAAACUCAAAUGAAUUGACGG
rnacentral:rRNA from 1 species